GACGAACGCUGGCGGUAUGCUUAACACAUGCAAGUCGAACGGUCUCUUCGAAGUUAGUGGCGGACGGAUGAGUAACGCUUGAAAAACUGGCUGUGGGUUCGGUACCACCUCUGCAAACUGUGGCUAAUAACGGAUGUGCCUCGGGGAAAAAGAGAAAUUGCCUGAAGACAUGCUCGCGUCUGAUUAGCUAGCAGGUGAGGUUAAGGCUCACCAAGACAGCGAUCAGUAGCUGCUCCGAGAGGAUGAGGAGCCACACUGGGACAGAGACACGGCCCAAACUCCUACGAGAGGCAGCAGUGGGGAAUUAUCCGCAAUGGGCGAAAGACUGACGGAGCAAUACCGCGUGGGGGAAGAAGGCUCUUGGGUUGUAAAACUCUUUUCUUAGAGAAGAACAAAAGGACGGUACCUAAGGAAUCAGCAUCGGCUAACUCCGUG
rnacentral:rRNA from 1 species